AUUGAACGCUGGCGGCAUGCCUUACACAUGCAAGUCGAACGGCAGCACGGGAGCAAUCCUGGUGGCGAGUGGCGAACGGGUGAGUAAUAUAUCGGAACGUGCCCAGUCGUGGGGGAUAACGUAGCGAAAGCUACGCUAAUACCGCAUACGAUCUAUGGAUGAAAGCGGGGGACCGCAAGACCUCGCGCGAUUGGAGCGGCCGAUAUCAGAUUAGGUAGUUGGUGAGGUAAAGGCUCACCAAGCCGACGAUCUGUAGCUGGUCUGAGAGGACGACCAGCCACACUGGGACUGAGACACGGCCCAGACUCCUACGGGAGGCAGCAGUGGGGAAUUUUGGACAAUGGGCGCAAGCCUGAUCCAGCAAUGCCGCGUGCAGGAUGAAGGCCUUCGGGUUGUAAACUGCUUUUGUACGGAACGAAACGGUGAGCUCUAAUACAGUUUGCUAAUGACGGUACCGUAAGAAUAAGCACCGGCUAACUACGUG
rnacentral:rRNA from 1 species